rnacentral:rRNA from 1 species
GAUGAACGCUGGCGGCGUGCCUAAAACAUGCAAGUCGCGCGGGGUCCCUUCGGGGGCCCAGCGGCGGACGGCUGAGUAGCGCGUGGGCGACCUGCCCUCGAGUGGGGGAUAACGGCCCGAAAGGGCUGCUAAUACCGCGUGCGCCCGCCGAUUCACUUCGGCGAGGAAAGCCCCUUCGGGGGCGCUCGGGGAGGGGCCCGCGUCCGAUUAGCUGGUUGGCGGGGUGACGGCCCACCAAGGCGACGAUCGGUAGCUGGUCUGAGAGGACGAUCAGCCAGACUGGGACUGAGAGACGGCCCAGACUCCUGCGGGAGGCAGCAGUUAGGAAUUUUGGGCAAUGGGCGCAAGCCUGACCCAGCAACGCCGCGUGGGGGACGACGGCCCUCGGGUCGUAAACCCCUUUUCCCGGGGACGAUGGUGACGGUACCCGGGGAAGAAGUCCCGGCUAACUACGUGCCAGCCGCCGCCGUAACAC